AAUUUUAGUAGAGAUGGGCUUUCACCGUAUUGGCCAGGCUGGUCUCGAACUCCUGGCCUCAAGUGAUCUGCCCACCUUUGCCUCCCAAUAUGCCUAUAUUGAAUCAAGUGCAAGAUCCAAAAUGUUACUAAAAAAGAUUUUCAGCUUUUUAGAUCCUCUUAAAAACGCAAAAAAAAAAAAAAAAUCAUUUCUUAGAAGCCAGUUGUGUGAACCGAGAAGUCUUGAAACCAAAAGAACUCCAAACUGGGUGAGAUGUGGCUCCCACAGUGGGAAUAAUUUCCUUAAAGGUCUUUAGUCCAAGAGGUUCCCUGGGAGGAAGGAUGUGCCUGUGCGGGGCAUGGGGUAUGAGCACAUGCAGGGCCUGGUGGCCAGGCUGCCUUCAGUGAUGAUGCACUUUCAGCCCUCCUCCCUUACCCACAUGACCCGAGUAUGGAGCAUGGCUUGGUAUCAUGGUAGCGUAUGCUAGAAUCUAACAUGGACUAUCCUAACUCGCUAGACCCAAAUGCAGCUGCUUUCCUGCUCCCCCAACACUACCUGACACAUUGCUGGAGCUAGGGAGGGAAAGCCACUACCUGAUUGCUAAGGCCUAGGGGAAGAGUCUCAGUCACGUGGCCUUUUGGGCAGCUCCUGGUCAUUUGGAUCACCAUGCGGCGUGCUGGUGCUGAGCCCCCAGGCUGCACUGCUCACAGGGCAUAGGCCGCUCUGCUUGGGGCAAGACACUGCCAAGGGGCAGAGAACAGGUUUCUAAAGGCAGGAAGUUGGAGGCAGUUGGGCUCAUUAAACCCCUGUGGAUCUUCAGCUGCAGAAUUGCUCUGAGAUACUCUGAAGACUUAAAGUUGUUCAUUUACUAAAGCAAAAGCAAAACACAGUUAAACCAGGGCAAGACCUUUCUACCUGUGGUGCUGUGCAUGGCUCUAAUUCAAGGGCAGGCAGAGGGUGAUGGGUUUCCAAUGUCUCCCAAACAUCUUUCCUCUGGUUUAUGGGCCUGGCUGAUGGGAUUCCAGGGCCAUCCUUUGAUCUUACUCUGCUGGGUUAGGUUGGGGGAAGCUGCCUCUGCCUCGACAGGGUGAUGCUCCCCUUACUCAUCUGUGGGGGGCAGCAGGAGCCAAGGACUUGAUCUGUUGCUGCUGGCCCGCCCUCUGUCAGGUGGCAGCUCUGGGCAUCAGUGUGACGACAGCUUCUGAGGUGCCUGCUGUAUAUGCCCGCCUGCAGAGGCCUGGGGCCAGCACUGACGGAAACUUCUGUUUGAUUCUCGGAACAUCUUCAGAGAUGGGUCACACCCUGCACUUGGCAGGGACAAUGUUUUGUGGGCCUCCCCUGGCGCCCUUCUUUAAGGGGCUGUGUUGCCAGCUUGGGCCCAGAGAACACAGAGAGAAAUGUACACAGUGUCUCCCCAUAACCCCUGUAGGGACCAUGCUGGGUGGGGCCCCAAUUGCUCCAAAAUAAGGUGGCGGAGGUCCAAGUGGUAAAGACGGAAGAAAGGCGGUCAGAGUGGACACGCUCCAUGUUAAAUUUCUGAGGAGCAAAGGUAAAAUGCCAGGAUUGCUGACACAAUCAGGCCAGCGAUGGGAAGAAAGCCUGAGAGAAGAGAAAAAUGAAGCCUCAACUAUCACAGAGCAUCUAACUGAAAAUACAAAGGUUUUAAGUGGACUGGCAGUUGGCAAAGGAAAAAAUAAAUCAGCCCCCUAUUGAGUGACUUUCAGGAAUGAGAGGCAGGCAGAUUGGCUAUUGAGGAAAUAUCCGAAUGCACUGGAUUUUGUCUGGGUUCAAAAGUCAAGAACAUCUGCAAGGCCCACACCACACUUGCUGAGGAGCUGCUGGUGUAAUUACGCUGCCGUGGACGAAACUAAGACGAGUUUGUGUCUGCCAGGGAGGUAACGAUGGACGGAGCAUGCUUCUGAGGGCGUCAUCGCAGGCCCUGUUCGUCUUUCUGUGCAGUGGCACGGCAGCUGGUGAGCAUGUGCUCAAGCCUGCUUCCCGUGUCACAUGUGUCACUUUCCCAGCGCCAAACAUCGUGGCCUCCAUUCUGUGCACUGUUCUGUCCAGGGAGAAGGAGCAUGAGCCCACAUCUGCCGUGGCCACAUCUCCAAGGCCAAGUGGGGCACAGCACCACUGCGCAGCUGUACCACCGGGGUGAGCCAACGCCCACCUCUGGGUCUCUGCUGUCUCCUUCUGAAGUGGGCGUCACAGCAGUCCCUACUUCAUAGCCUCGCUGUGCCAAUCCUCUAAGCUAAUAAUACUUGCUGAGUGCCGAGAACAGUGCCUGGUAUCUAUGUUAAACAAAACUCCCUGUCCAGAAUGAUCUCCCACGCCCCUCCCAGUUUUCACCUCCUAGGAUUCUUUCCGGCUUUGUCCUUUUCAAAUCUCUGAGGCAGGGAGGGCGAUUAUCAACCCAUUUUUGAGAUGGGGGAAGCAGAAGAAGACCUUUGAGGCGUUUUCCAGAGUUUAAGUGGCUGGUUAAUGAAUGGGUGGGGAUGGAAGCCAAGACCUCAGGAGCUUGAUCAUACCACUGGCCGAGGGGAAGGAACUGCAUCUAAGUCAUGUGGCCCCUCACAUGCCUCUGUUUACCCUUACCUCCUUCAGUUUCCCAGUCUCAUCAUUGCUCCUUCUCAGGCACAGGCUGAAGGGAAAGAAAAAUAACUUCUAGGCACUGGGAAGAAGCAAAUGCUGAUGAGGCAGCCAGGCCCUGGGCCAUGCGGAGGAGGACAGCAUUGCAGGCCCCACAGUACACAGCCUGAAAUGGACCAGGAGCAAGGGAUCUAGGGUUUAGAGACUUGAUGAUCCAGUCUGCUCCCGAGCGCUAAGCAAGUGUGACCAGAAGCACCUGCUCCACCCUCUCUUGCCCGCUAGACAAAGGCUUAGCCCAUGGGAACAGUGCAUUAUGUUACGAUGCAGUUUCUUACUCAGUGGGUGACCAUGUGCCUGUGGCUUCUGCAUUUCAAACCAGCUCCUGGCCUUGCUACUUUGUGGACCACAUCUGAGGGACAAGGGUUCCGAGGAUGCGUUGGUAUAGCCUGGCUGUCUUUUCCAUCAAAAGCCACGACUCGUGAGCUAAUCCUGUGUUCCUUCCCACCCUCAGGUUUCUCAGCGCUGGCCAGAUAGGAACAAGACUGAAGAGGCUGCUGAGGCCCCACUAGGGCAAUGUGAAGGAUCUCUCUGGGAGAACAUUGCCACGAUUUCCCUGUAUGAGAAGGAAUAUCCUCCAGGGUGGGCAAAACCACAGAGAUGGGGGCAGGCAGCAGGCUGUAUAAUGGGCAGAUUCAUAUCCCUCUCCUUCCGCUGAGCCCUGCCGUCCUCCGUUCAGGCAGCUUUCUACUUAGCACUCCGAUUUCCGUGUCCAAUCAAUUGGCCACUCUUUGCACCACUUUAAAAAUGAGUGACAGAGUCUUGACCUUGAAGCCAGCCAGUCGUGGAGACUUCUUUCACCAUCUCCUUUUGAACUUAGACAAAGAUUGGCAGAGAAAAGCACCAGUUUUGCUAAGAUAGCGUCAUUCGUAAUGCAACUUCUUUGCAUUAAAUCCUGCACUUAUUAGUGGUAGUAGUAUCACUUACUUCCAUUUGCAAAUUAUGUUAUCUUACAAAGCACUCUCAUGGUCAUUAUCUUAUUUGAUAUUCAAAAUCAUUAUGAGAUGAAUGAAGAUUAUUGUCCCCAGGAAACUAAGGCUCCAAUUGGUUCACAAGUUUGCCGAGUAUCACGAGGUGGUAGGCACCAGAGGGGGAUGUGGAUGUUCAUUUUCUUAUUAGAGCUGAUAUUAACAAGGCAGCAGACUUGCCAGCACUGUGCAUCAUAGUCUUCCCCAUCCCAAGCAUCGUGAUUCCAUUCCAAGGGAAAUUCUUAAAGUGUGGCCAGCCUACAGCUGAGCCAGGACUGCUCCUGAAAUGAUAGUGGCCGUGUUGUUCCUAAGGGGCAUAGCUGAGAAUACGCUAAAAUUUAGAAAAUUGUUAAAAUAAACAAAGCUAACAAAAAU